UACGAAGGGGGCUAGCGUUGCUCGGAAUUACUGGGCGUAAAGCGCGCGUAGGUGGUUUGUUAAGUUGAAUGUGAAAUCCCCGGGCUCAACCUGGGAACUGCAUCCAAAACUGGCAAGCUAGAGUAUGGUAGAGGGUGGUGGAAUUUCCUGUGUAGCGGUGAAAUGCGUAGAUAUAGGAAGGAACACCAGUGGCGAAGGCGACCACCUGGACUGAUACUGACACUGAGGUGCGAAAGCGUGGGGAGCAAACAGG
rnacentral:rRNA from 1 species